rnacentral:rRNA from 1 species
AACGAACGCUGGCGGCGCGCUUAACACGUGCAAGUCGAGCGAGAACCAGGGCUUCGGCCCUGGGGACAGCGGCGAACGGGUGAGUAACACGUGGGUAAUCUGCCCUCGGCAUCGGGACAGCCCGGGGAAACCCGGAUUAAUACCGAAUAGCCUCCGGAGCUCUCGGGCGCCGGCGAAAAGGUAGCUUCGGCCUCUGGCCGAGGAUGAGCCCGCGGCGGAUUAGCUUGUUGGCGGGGUAACGGCCCAUCAAGGCGACGAUCCGUAGCUGGUCUGAGAGGACGAUCAGCCACACUGGAACUGAGACACGGUCCAGACUCCUACGGGAGGCAGCAGUGGGGAAUCUUGCGCAAUGGGCGAAAGCCUGACGCAGCAACGCCGCGUGUGUGAUGAAGGUCUUCGGAUCGUAAAGCACUGUCGCGAGGGACGAAUAAGGGUCGGGUGAACAAUCCGGUCCGAUGACGGUACCUCGAGAGGAAGCACCGGCUAACUCUGUGCCAGCCGCCGCCGUAACAC